GUGCUCACUUCGGCAGCACAUAUACUAAAACUGGAAUGAUACAGAGAAGAUUGACAUGGCUCCUGAGCAAGGAGGAUAAAAAAUGUGUGUCUGAUUAUAAAGACAUAGUUUU